GAUCAUGGCUCAGAUUGAACGCUGGCGGCAGGCCUAACACAUGCAAGUCGAACGGUAACAGGAAACAGCUUGCUGUUUCGCUGACGAGUGGCGGACGGGUGAGUAAUGUCUGGGAAACUGCCUGAUGGAGGGGGAUAACUACUGGAAACGGUAGCUAAUACCGCAUAACGUCGCAAGACCAAAGAGGGGGACCUUCGGGCCUCUUGCCGGGAUCGGAUGUGCCCAGAUGGGAUUAGCUAGUAGGG
rnacentral:rRNA from 1 species